rnacentral:rRNA from 1 species
UAAUACGGAGGGGGCGAGUGUUGUUCGGAAUUACUGGGCGUAAAGGGCGCGCAGGCGGCUUGGCAAGUCGAGUGUGAAAUCCCUUGGCUUAACUGAGGAAUGGCGCUCGAAACUACCUCGCUGGAGGGCGGGAGAGGGAAGUGGAACUCUCGGUGUAGGGGUGAAAUCUGUAGAUAUCGAGAGGAACACCGGUGGCGAAGGCGGCUUCCUGGCCCGUACCUGACGCUGAGGCGCGAAAGCGUGGGGAGCAAACAGGAUUAGAUACCCUGGUAGUCCACGCCCUAAACGAUGGGCACUAGGUGUGGGCGGUAUUAAUCCCGCCUGUGCCGUAGCUAACGCAUUAAGCACCCCGCCUGGGGAGUACGGCCGCAAGGCUA